AGCCCAGCAGGCUGGUCCAUACUGGCUUGGGCUGGACAGAGCUGAAGCCCACGUGGUGCCUGGCCUUGCUUAACCGAGAGAACAAAGUGGAAGAGACGCUGUGGUAGUCAGUUUCUAGGCAUGGAUCUUAAGAAACUGACAACUUCUAUGUCCUAUCUCUUGGGCUGCUCAUGCUCCCAGCCACUCUGCUGUGAGGAAGACCACGUGGUCACACAUAGAGGCCGUAUGCCAGGGUCCUGCUCACAGCCCAGCCUUGCACAUGAGUGGGCCGUCUUGGGCUGGCCCAACAGCCACCACGCACGCAGAGCAGGCGGUUCUUCUCACCGGGCCCUGCCCAACCUGUAGAUUCCGCAUCAAACAAUAAUUGGCUUUAAACAAA
rnacentral:lncRNA from 10 species